UAGCAGUUGCCAUUUGGCGGUUCAGCAGUGGUCCGGCGGUUUGGUGGUUUCGUAGCUUGGUGGCUUGGCGACUUGGGUCAAUGUACACUUUACGGAUUUGGCGGCAAAGCGCUGGACAUUUCACUCCGAAGAUCAGAGAUUCAGGUGGAGGGUGGCAACCGGCUGGCCAGGUGCAGUGUGUGAAAGUGUUGCAACUUGCAGAUUGCUGUGGGCUGGACAUGUUCAUAAUUCAAAGCGGCCAAGCAGGCUGACAUUGAAUAAUACAACUAGUACAAUCGCCAGCGAUUGGAACGGAGCCAUUGCCAAAGAAAUGUAAUGAAAUGAAAUGAAUCUGGGCCUGGGCCUGGCCAUGGGCUUGAGUCCGAGCCAAAAGUAGUAAAAGUGUCGUUUUCAAGUGGCAUUUACAACUUUUCGCACAAUGCUGAGCGGCAGAUGUGUGAAAGUUGUCGGCCUGACACUUUUAUAUUGUCAACAUAUUAACGAACAAGGGAACCAAACCCGUUUAAUGGAGAGCUGCUGAGCUGCUCGUUUUGGCCAACAAAAGAACAAAACGCUGGCAACGAAAGUGAAAUGCUUCCUCGCUCGAUCAUAAUUACGAUAAUGACAAAUUUUCGUAAUGAAACGAAAUUGAAGUGCCUUGAAAGUGAAACCUGAGCAAUUAAUGCGCAGCUCUUGCCACGCCCCCUUUUUUUUACUCUUUCUCGAAAAAUCAGUCCGUAGAUUACUUUCGGAGCUUUCGUUUUUUUGUGUGGUCUUUCCCUAGCCGUGAUCUUUUGCUAUUACACAAUGUAGGCGGGGCAGCAGAAAAAGGCGCCAGAUAUUUGCAUUUCAUGAUUCGGCAAUUUCGGCCUCAGAGUCUGUAGUAGAAGGGAAAGACAGCCAGAAGAAAGAAAGAGGCAAAGUUGAAUCCGAACCCAAGCUCAAGCACAAAGCCAAGGUAAAUGGCAAGCCGCAGCCAAAACUGAUUACGAAGUGGAAACUCUCACUUUUACGAUUAUUUUUCUUAUGGCUUUCGGUCGUCAUGAUCUUCAUCAUCAUCUCUUCGCAGAUUGUCUUCUCCAAUGCUAUUGUCUCUUCUGUCCUAUAAUGAUUAGACUUUCAGCCGCUAGAAAAGCAGGCAUAAAAGUCAAUUUUAUGCUCACUUUUUGCCGUUGAUUGGCCAACCCAAACCCCAUCUCCGAUUCCGACUCCGAUCGUGUCACGGAAUUGUCUAUAUGUGUUUUAUGCCGGGCUUGUGAUCUGGAGCAACACUAAAUAUCUCAAUUAGACGUCAUUGUAGGGCUGCCGCGCUGACUGGCAACCACCUGAUGUAGGUCAGGCCUUUCUCUCAAAACUCAAAUGAAUUCCCCGAGCAGUCGAGAUGAGCUGCCAUCGAUAUCGAUGUGCGACCCAUUUGUCCCAGCCAUCCCGGCCCAUCCCAUCCAUUCAUUCAGCAAAAUAUCUAGCCCAACCCACUGACAAUUAAUUAAAGUCAAAUUGUGGUUUGGCUUUUCGGCGCUUUUUGGGGUUUUUGGCCAUCUAUAGUAUGUGGCAGUGACAGAAACGGGUCCCUGUGGCAGACACGCGCUCAAAGUCUCAAAGUCCGAGUCUAACUAUUUUUAUAUCGAUACCGGUUGCCAGUUUCUGUUGUUGCACUCCCCUUGAACCGACUCUUUCAUUUUAAAUUUUCAGCAUUUCUAAGGUUGCAGCUACACACAGAAAAAUAUUGACAAUUUCUGGGGGUAACAAAUUACAUUAUUACAUCUGAUAGAGAACUCAAACAAUCCCCAAUUUUUACUUUUGUAGUUUUAAUAUUUUGAGUGUAAUUUGGUUGAUUUAAUAUGAAUCCAAGAAAUAUUUUUCCUAGUGGAUCCAAACGAAUCGAAGAAAGUGCCGUGCUGCCCAUAUCCGUUUUUGACUCGAUUUAUGCAUUGAGGUGGAGCCAAGCGACCAGGCAGACAAAGCGGGGCGACUCACUCAGUUACAUCGAUAUACCGAUGACGAGCAUCCCGGCCAUGUGAAUGUGAUUGGGCGCGGAUGCCUUGGGUAAGGUGGAAUAUAAAUCGGAAAGAUUAAAAAAAAUAUUCAAGAAAAAAGUUUCACUUUCUCAAGAGUUUACAGUUACUCAUACAUAAAUAUGGAAGCUUAUGGCCGGCUAAGUUAUUGCUCUUUUGGCCGGCCACGAAAGACAGCCGGCAGGAGAGAUGGCCAAAAA